rnacentral:piRNA from 1 species
UAAAAAAUUCACUCGGUGCUAGUGACCU